rnacentral:rRNA from 1 species
GACGAACGCUGGCGGCGUGCUUAACACAUGCAAGUCGAACGGAAAGGCCUGCUUUCCCUUGUGGAUUGCGGGUACUCGAGUGGCGAACGGGUGAGUAACACGUGAGUGAUCUGCCCCCAACUUGGGUAUAAGCCUGGGAAACUGGGUCUAAUUCCCGAUAGGACUGCAGGGUGGUGCCUGUGGUGGAAAACGAUUUUCUAGUGGUUGGGGAUGAGCUCGCGGCCUAUCAGCUUGUUGGUGGGGUAAUGGCCUACCAAGGCGGCGACGGGUAGCCGGCCUGAGAGGGUGGACGGCCACAUUGGGACUGGGAUACGGCCCAGACUCCUACGGGCGGCAGCAGUGGGGAAUAUUGCACAAUGGGCGGAAGCCUGAUGCAGCGACGCCGCGUGGGGGAUGACGGCCUUCGGGUUGUAAACUCCUUUCGACCGCGAGGAAGCCACCUGGUUGGAAGGGUGGUGACGGUAGUGGUAGAAGAAGCACCGGCUAACUACGUG